AUUGAACGCUGGCGGCAGGCCUAACACAUGCAAGUCGAGCGGCAGCGGGAAAGUAGCUUGCUACUUUUGCCGGCGAGCGGCGGACGGGUGAGUAAUGCCUGGGAAAUUGCCCAGUCGAGGGGGAUAACAGUUGGAAACGACUGCUAAUACCGCAUACGCCCUACGGGGGAAAGCAGGGGACCUUCGGGCCUUGCGCGAUUGGAUAUGCCCAGGUGGGAUUAGCUAGUUGGUGAGGUAAUGGCUCACCAAGGCGACGAUCCCUAGCUGGUCUGAGAGGAUGAUCAGCCACACUGGAACUGGGACACGGGCCAGACUCCUACGGGCGGCAGCAGUGGGGAAUAUUGCACAAUGGGGGAAACCCUGAUGCAGCCAUGCCGCGUGUGUGAAGAAGGCCUUCGGGUUGUAAAGCACUUUCAGCGAGGAGGAAAGGUUGAUGCCUAAUACGUAUCAACUGUGACGUUACUCGCAGAAGAAGCACCGGCUAACUCCGUGCCAGCAGCCGCCGUAAAAC
rnacentral:rRNA from 1 species